rnacentral:rRNA from 1 species
AGUGAACGCUGGCGGUAGGCCUAACACAUGCAAGUCGAACGGCAGCACAGUAAGAGCUUGCUCUUACGGGUGGCGAGUGGCGGACGGGUGAGGAAUACAUCGGAAUCUACUUUUUCGUGGGGGAUAACGUAGGGAAACUUACGCUAAUACCGCAUACGACCUACGGGUGAAAGCAGGGGAUCUUCGGACCUUGCGCGAUUGAAUGAGCCGAUGUCGGAUUAGCUAGUUGGCGGGGUAAAGGCCCACCAAGGCGACGAUCCGUAGCUGGUCUGAGAGGAUGAUCAGCCACACUGGAACUGAGACACGGUCCAGACCCCUACGGGAGGCAGCAGUGGGGAAUAUUGGACAAUGGGCGCAAGCCUGAUCCAGCCAUACCGCGUGGGUGAAGAAGGCCUUCGGGUUGUAAAGCCCUUUUUGUUGGGAAAGAAAAGCAGCAGGUUAAUACCCCGCUGUUCUGACGGUACCCAAAGAAUAAGCACCGGCUAACUUCGUG